GAUGAACGCUGGCGGCGUGCCUAAUACAUGCAAGUCGAGCGAACGGACGAGAAGCUUGCUUCUCUGAUGUUAGCGGCGGACGGGUGAGUAACACGUGGAUAACCUACCUAUAAGACUGGGAUAACUUCGGGAAACCGGAGCUAAUACCGGAUAAUAUUUUGAACCGCAUGGUUCAAAAGUGAAAGACGGUCUUGCUGUCACUUAUAGAUGGAUCCGCGCUGCAUUAGCUAGUUGGUAAGGUAACGGCUUACCAAGGCAACGAUGCAUAGCCGACCUGAGAGGGUGAUCGGCCACACUGGAACUGAGACACGGUACAGACUCUUACGGGAGGCAGCAGUAGGGAAUCUUCCGCAAUGGGCGAAAGCCUGACGGAGCAACGCCGCGUGAGUGAUGAAGGUCUUCGGAUCGUAAAACUCUGUUAUUAGGGAAGAACAUAUGUGUAAGUAACUGUGCACAUCUUGACGGUACCUAAUCAGAAAGCCACGGCUAACUACGUG
rnacentral:rRNA from 1 species